rnacentral:rRNA from 1 species
AGAUUGAACGCUGGCGGCAGGCCUAACACAUGCAAGUCGAGCGGUAGAGAGGUGCUUGCAUCUCUUGAGAGCGGCGGACGGGUGAGUAAUGCCUAGGAAUCUGCCUAGUGGUGGGGGAUAACGUUCGGAAACGGACGCUAAUACCGCAUACGUCCUACGGGAGAAAGCGGGGGACCUUCGGGCCUCGCGCCAUUAGAUGAGCCUAGGUCGGAUUAGCUAGUUGGUGAGGUAAUGGCUCACCAAGGCGACGAUCCGUAACUGGUCUGAGAGGAUGAUCAGUCACACUGGAACUGAGACACGGUCCAGACUCCUACGGAGCAGCAGGUGGGAAUA